AGUGAACGCUGGCGGUAGGCCUAACACAUGUAAGUCGAACGGCAGCACAGUAAGAGCUUGCUCUUACGGGUGGCGAGUGGCGGACGGGUGAGGAAUACAUCGGAAUCUACUUUUUCGUGGGGGGUAACGUAGGGAAACUUACGCUAAUACCGCAUACGACCUACGGGUGAAAGCAGGGGAUCUUCGGACCUUGCGCGAUUGAAUGAGCCGAUGUCGGAUUAGCUAGUUGGCGGGGUAGAGGCCCACCAAGGCGACGAUCCGUAGCUGGUCUGAGAGGAUGAUCAGCCACACUGGAACUGAGACACGGUCCAGACUCCUACGGGAGGCAGCAGUGGGGAAUAUUGGACAAUGGGCGCAAGCCUGAUCCAGCCAUACCGCGUGGGUGAAGAAGGCCUUCGGGUUGUAAAGCCCUUUUGUUGGGAAAGAAAAGCAGCAGGUUAAUACCCCGCUGUUCUGACGGUACCCAAAGAAUAAGCACCGGCUAACUUCGUG
rnacentral:rRNA from 1 species